AACUACAGUUGUAUUACUACCCACAGCAUGGAAGCCUAUGGAUUGUUGCACCAGACUUUCUUUCCUUCUGUAAAGGAAUAAAGCUCUCCAGCUCCAUGUCCUCUUUUGAGGGUCCCAGUCAGUGCAGAAGUAACAUAGAAUCUAAGAUUGUGAGGUCACAUUCCAGAAGCAAAGAAACUGACAUUGCAGCAGAAGCCAUUAGAUUCCCUCACCAGCCAAAUAUGGAAAAAUAAUAUAAAGCUCACAAAAUCGGAUCAUCCCUGUGCUCUUCUCUACCACCAGCUUUUCUCUGCAUGCAGAACUGUACUGGCUGGAUGGCUGCACAGAGACAAUUAACUGCAGACUUAUAGGUCCAAAAUUUUAUGAAGAACACCAAACUCAAAUACCUCUUAUUUUCUUUAUCAGGCCAAUACGUCCACUUCAAGAGUUUCAUUAUGAAUUUAGAUGAAAAGCGUACAAAACUGGAUUUCUUACUGAUUUCCUAUCACUUCAGAAUGUUUAACUCUACUGCCUUGGUGUGGAUUUCAGCUGUAGUCAGAUGAGGCACAGUUUAUACAAGUACUUGAACAACCUUCUUAAAAAAUCAUUUUCACCAAAGUACCACCAAGAAGAUGUGAGAUCUAAUCAGUACAUUGAACUUGAAAAGCAAAAGUUAAGGCUCUCCAAGGCCAUACUUAACUUCAAUACUAAUUAUUUCAGAAUGGAACACUUUUCCCUUUUAUUCAUGUUAAUGUUAAGAAAGCAUCCCCCACCCCCCCAAAAAAAACUAUUUAGGAACUACUCUUGGGUUACAGGACUGUGUUUUUAUUUU